AGGAUUCCCAAAGUAACAGCGAGUGAACUGGGAAAAGCCCAUCGCUGAAUCUUUCGAUGUGAUCGAUCGUAAAGAAAUGUGGCGUAUUGGUAUGAUUGUCGAUUUGUUCGAACAUGCCCAAAGUUCCUUUGAUAGGGACCAUAUUCCAGAGAGGGUGCGAGACCUGUACGGGCAUUUGAUCAUGUCGUAUGAUUAUACCUUGGAGUCGGGUUGCUUGAAAGUGCAGCCUUAAGUGGGUGAUAAACUUCAUCUAAGGCUAAAUACGGACGCGAAUUCGAUAGCAAACAAGUACUGUGAAGGAAAGUUGCAAAGAACUUUGAAGAGAGAGUUCAAGAGAACGUGAAAUCGUUGAAGUGGAACCGGAGAGAGUUGACGUAGUCUGGUGGAUAAGUAUUGCAAGUAUCGUAUUCGUUUAUCGAUUUCGUUUAAAUGAAUAUGAUUAAGUAAUAUGUAUGCCAUCUAUGACUGUGCUGAUAGCAUCGGCAUCGCAUUCCGAACGACGUAUUGCAACAUGUUGCCCAUUCUAUUCUGUAGUAUGGUGUCUUAUGUUACGUUGUUCUUGGUUUGUUGUAUUGUGGUGAUGUAGUGAUGAAAUUGUAUGUAUUGUAUCAGCAUAAAAGUCAAUCACCUCUCCGACCCGUCUUGAAACACGGACCGAGGAGUGUAACUUGUACGCGAGUCAUAAGGUGAAAAACCUUAAGGCGAAAUAAAAGUGAAGGCAUUGGUUAACCGGCUAACAUGGGAAACGUACACGUUUAUCGUCGUCAUUAUUGAUGUCGUGUAGCGUAACGUCACACCAUGGCCCUGUUUAAUCUGCAUGCAGAUGGGCAGCGGUAGAGCGUACAGGUUGCGACCCGAAAGAUGGUGAACUAUGCCUGAGCAGGGUGAAGUCAGUGGAAACUCUGAUGGAAGCCCGUAUCGGUUCUGACGUGCAAAUCGAUCGAUAGACUUGGGUAUAGGGGCGAAAGACUAAUCGAACC
rnacentral:rRNA from 1 species